rnacentral:rRNA from 1 species
UACGGAGGGUGCAAGCGUUAUCCGGAUUCACUGGGUUUAAAGGGUGCGUAGGAGGGUUGGUAAGUCAGUGGUGAAAUCUCCGAGCUUAACUUGGAAACUGCCGUUGAUACUAUCAAUCUUGAAUAUCGUGGAGGUGAGCGGAAUAUGUCAUGUAGCGGUGAAAUGCUUAGAUAUGACAUAGAACACCAAUUGCGAAGGCAGCUUACUAAACAAGCAUUGACGCUGAGGCACGAAAGCGUGGGGAUCAAACAGG